ACUCAGGGACUGUAGGCAGCCUUUAAAACGGGACCCGCACAGUCGCUCUGUGUAGUGUCAGGAGUCUCGUCCCCUGAAACUUUUGCGGGUUUUUUUGUUUUGUUGAAAAGUUACCGAGUCGCGUAAACAUUUGACAGGACACCCAAAUAUCUGGACUUUGCCUGAUAAACAAAACCUCCGACCGAGAAAUUGUUUCCCUGCAGAUUUUUUUUUUUGUUUUGACAGAGAAGAGAAAAUAAGCAGAAGGCACAAAACACCAAAAACCAAAACACAAACUGUAGAGACACUGCCUCGCACCUUGGGCAACCCAGGUUCGAUCCUGACCUGGGGUGCUGUCGGCGUGGAGUUUGCACGUUCAACCAGUGACCUGGUUUACUCCCACACUCCAAGGAUGUGCAGGUUGGUUGGUUCAUUAUCCUCUGUA